rnacentral:rRNA from 1 species
AUUGAACGCUGGCGGCAGGCCUAACACAUGCAAGUCGAACGGUAACAGAAAGCAGCUUGCUGCUUUGCUGACGAGUGGCGGACGGGUGAGUAAUGUCUGGGAAACUGCCUGAUGGAGGGGGAUAACUACUGGAAACGGUAGCUAAUACCGCAUAACGUCGCAAGACCAAAGAGGGGGACCUUCGGGCCUCUUGCCAUCGGAUGUGCCCAGAUGGGAUUAGCUUGUUGGUGGGGUAACGGCUCACCAAGGCGACGAUCCCUAGCUGGUCUGAGAGGAUGACCAGCCACACUGGAACUGAGACACGGUCCAGACUCCUACGGGAGGCAGCAGUGGGGAAUAUUGCACAAUGGGCGCAAGCCUGAUGCAGCCAUGCCGCGUGUAUGAAGAAGGCCUUCGGGUUGUAAAGUACUUUCAGCGGGGAGGAAGGGAGUAAAGUUAACACCUUUGCUCAUUGACGUUACCCGCAGAAGAAGCACCGGCUAACUCCGUG